rnacentral:rRNA from 1 species
AACAGUCAGGAGGUUGGCUUAGAAGCAGCCACCCUUUAAAGAAAGCGUAAUAGCUCACUGAUCGAGUCGUCCUGCGCGGAAGAUGUAACGGGGCUAAGCUAUAUACCGAAGCUGCGGAUGCGUGCUUGCACGCAUGGUAGGAGAGCGUUCCGUAAGCCUGCGAAGGUGCCUUGUAAAGGGUGCUGGAGGUAUCGGAAGUGCGAAUGCUGACAUGAGUAGCGAUAAAGGGGGUGAAAGGCCCCCUCGCCGUAAGCCCAAGGUUUCCUACGCAACGUUCAUCGGCGUAGGGUGAGUCGGCCCCUAAGGCGAGGCAGAAAUGCGUAGCUGAUGGGAAGCAGGUCAAUAUUCCUGCACCAUUGUUAGAUGCGAUGGGGGGACGGAUCGCGGAAGGUUGUCCGGGUGUUGGAAGUCCCGGUCGCUGCAUUGGAGAAGGCGCUUAGGCAAAUCCGGGCGCGCAAUUCAAGGGUGUGGCGCGAGCUCCUUAGGGAGCGAAGCAAUUGGAAGUGGUUCCAAGAAAAGCCUCUAAGCUUCAGUCUAACGAUGACCGUACCGCAAACCGACACAGGUGGGCGAGAUGAGUAUU